rnacentral:misc_RNA from 1 species
GAUGAAGAACGUAGCGAAAUGCGAUAAGUAAUGUGAAUUGCAGAAUUCAGUGAAUCAUCGAAUCUUUGAACGCACAUUGCGCCCGCCAGUAUUCUGGCGGGCAUGCCUGUUCGAGCGUCAUUACAACCCUCAGGCCCCCGGGCCUGGCGUUGGGGAUCGGCGGAAGCCCCCUGCGGGCACAACGCCGUCCCCCAAAUACAGUGGCGGUCCCGCCGCAGCUUCCAUUGCGUAGUAGCUAACACCUCGCAACUGGAGAGCGGCGCGGCCACGCCGUAAAACACCCAACUUCUGAAUGUUGACCUCGAAUCAGGUAGGAAUACCCGCUGAACUUAAGCAUAUCAAUAAGCGGAGGC